rnacentral:rRNA from 1 species
UACGUAGGGUGCAAGCGUUGUCCGGAAUUAUUGGGCGUAAAGAGCUCGUAGGCGGUCUGUCGCGUCUGCUGUGAAAACUCAGGGCUUAACCCUGAGCUUGCAGUGGGUACGGGCAGACUAGAGUGCGGUAGGGGAGACUGGAAUUCCUGGUGUAGCGGUGAAAUGCGCAGAUAUCAGGAGGAACACCGGUGGCGAAGGCGGGUCUCUGGGCCGGUACUGACGCUGAGACGCGAAAGCGUGGGGAGCAAACAGG